ACUCUAAGCAACUGCUAAACAUGCAAGUGUGUGCAUAAUAAGGGCAUAUAGUUUUCAAAUAUGUCAAAAACAGGAGACCAUGCUAUUUGCAAUGUGAGUGCCAUAAAGGCAAAUAAAAAGUCGAUUUCCACCUGAGCAGAACAUGUAAGAAGAGACUUGCUGAGAGUGCAACUACAUGAUCAAAUACCAUGAGGUUUCUUCCACUUAUAAAAUGUGGCUGCCUUCAGAGGGUGAGAUCUUGAGAUCCAAAAGGGGAAGCCUAAGGACUGAGGAGGGUGUAGAGUCUAAUAAAGAACACUGGAGUUGAAGGUAUUUGAUAUUAAAGUUAUUCUUUGGUUAACUAGUUGAAGAUAUUCUUCACUCUUGCUUCUGGCUCUUUGUCCUAGCAUUUCCUGGCAGAAUCCCCUUCCCUUGAACAUCUGCCAACUCCUGGUAGUGCCUGGGCACAUGGCAAUUUGCCAGCGUGGCUGUGCCUGGCAUCUCAGGGUAGAGCCUGAAGGACAUGGGUGCUCAGAUAAAAUGUGGUGCAAUCUGCUGAGAACCAUUUAUGGUACAUGGUAAUAUCAUAUUUUUCUUUAUGUUAAAUAUUGUAAAGCCUACUUUUGUACAGCCUGUGUCCUUUUCCUACUUGGGCAAUGACUAAUAGUUUUAAGCAAAUUAGUCAAUGUGAAUAGUGGGAGUGAAGGGUAAAAGCUCUCCAAUGACGUGGAAAAUGUCCUUGAUUCUGGCCUUUUUGUCCUAUGAUUUUAUUUCUUGACAUGGAGAUCUGGUUGCUUCCAUUUCAGCAGAGUUUGGGAAAAAGUGCUUUUUUGAUGAGUACUCCCCCAUUCCCCAGAAUCUAAAUAAGGGACUCUGAGAGAUAUUACCAUUUACCAUAAAUGGUAUUCCCUGGAUCGUAUCACAUUUUAUUGAGCUGCUACAUUGCCAACCCACUGCAUUCAAAUGUUUCCUGUAUUACCUUCCUGGUUCUUUUUUUCCUUUCAGACUCAAUUUGUGGCUAGUUUUUCAAUCUAUCUAAUAUUAUCCAAUAAAGUGGUAGAUUUUAGGGAUCUUUAAUCA
rnacentral:lncRNA from 1 species